GGAGAGGAUGGAGAGAAGGAGAGGAGAGGAUGGAGAAUCACAUUUAGUUCAGAUUCUCGACACUUUAGUCUAAAAAUGUGGUGUGAACUUCUCUGAUUGAUGUGUUGGGUGUGAAACAUAUGCUUCACUGUGCUCAAGGUGACUGUGUGUGUGUGUGUGUGUGUGUGUGUGUGUGUGUGUGUGUGCGUGUGUGUGUGUGCUGUGGUCUUGCUCACUUCCAGUCAGUCCCCCUGGAGGGCUUCACUGCGUGGUCACUGCAGGGCGUCCUCCUGUCCUCCCCUCUCUUCAGCCACAACAUCCUAACACAACCUGACACAUCCUCUGUCCAGCUACCAUGGAUGUGUGUGAGUCUGAGUGUGUGACUCUGUAGUGUGUGUCUAAGUGUGUGUGUCUGUGUGUAUUGUGAAGACUUUAAUAAACAGCGCUGUCCUGAAUAAAGACGUAAACGUUCGUCUCUAAAGUUUCUGUUCGUUCUUCAGGUGAAUUCAGAGAAAAUUCAUCUUCUCUUCAUCACUUUGUCGUUUUUUUUUCAGGAACGUAUAAAAAAUUAUCCUAAUGUCUGUAAUUUUUCAACAUUUUCAGAGCCUUUCUGGAUCAAUCAGCUGUUUUAAUGAACGAGUGAAUUAUUUAUGUGAAACUCCUGGAGGACAGAAACACUCUCCGUUUUCUCACAUCGUGUGUUUUUGCAUAUUAGCAUAAAAGUGAGACGGCCUGUUUGGAUCCGUGUUUCCAGCUCACACCUGCAGAUUUACGCCGUUUAACGACAGUCAGAGGGAGAGUCACCUUCACCUCAAACACACAGAUAUCUGUGGGUGAGACUGUGACUGUUAGAUCCAGUCUCCUCAUUGAGGGAUGGAUGUAAACUCCUCAGACGACUGAGUUCAAGAACUUCUGCAGCAUGUGAAUCUAAAGUUUCGGAGCUAGUUUUAGAGUUUUUUACGUAUCUCAAAAACCUGCGCGGCAUAAAUCAUGAUGAAGUUAUCGAUCUGUGAGGAAAUCUCUCUGUUUCUUCCUCCUCACCUCACCCCAGCUCCUCCUCCUCCUCCUCCUCCUCCUCCUCCUCCUCCUCUCUCCGAUCUCAGAGAAAGUUAGAGAGGAAGUUCGCUCAACUCCUGUGGCUUGGGUGGCUUUUUAAGUCUUCUUUAUUCAUGUGUUAUUUGUUUAUGUGGAUUAAUUAUUAAAAAUUUGGUGCAUUUUACAAAGGUUGAAGUCUGCAGAUAAUGAUUCCUCUCCAUUCUCUCCCAAUGGGUUGUGUUUGUAAUUUUCUUGAAUAUAAAAGUUGCAUAAUUCAUGUGUAUCGGCGGGCCACAUCCAUUAAUUAUGUCAGUCUUUUAGGUGCUCGCGUCUUUACCACGUCUUCUUCUUCUUCUUCUUCUUCUUCUCUUCCUUUCAUUCUCUCUCUCUCUCUGUUUCUCUCUCUCUCUCUCUGUAUCUCAGCAGAAGUAAAAAACCUCCUUUUGAGCGUUUCCUCCUCUCUUCCUCGCUCUUUUCUCGCGGAUCAUGAGGGUCAGAUGGACCGUGUCCAAGUUUGAGCGGGAGAUGAAAGCGAGCGGAGGAGAAAAGGAAAAGUUUGCUGCGCUGCUGUGAUGUAAAUGCCCUUAUUUAGUAAUUUAUAGAAGAGGGAAUUGAGCACAACUCUGUGGAGAUUCAUCACUUAUUGAUGUGUCUAAUCUUUCAGAUCCUGCCAACAUGAUGAUCAUGAUCUGUGUUAGCGUGAGACGCCUCACCCCCCUCCUCUCCUCCUCCUCCUCCUCCUUCCCUUUCCUCCCCUCUCUCCUCCCCCGAAACUCUUGUUUCUGUCACUUUCUCCCCUCUUCUCUCCACACAUCCACUUUGACUCCAAAUAUUCAGCGUUACAAAAUACCCCGAUAAGUCUGUCACAUUUUAACGUGGCGUAUCGACCACGACGACGACGCCGAUAACACUGACGAGGUUUGACCAGCGGAGAGGAAGAAGAGCUUUUUAUCUUUUUAUAAAUAAAAACAGAUUUUUAGUUUUUUUUUAAAAAGAGAGAAAUUAAACUGAGACAGAAACAUUUUCUGAUUUUAGCUUUUUAAAGGUGAAGAUUUGUGGCUGUAAAUUAAGAGUCUUUGCUGAUUAUUAGUUAUUUUAAAGACGUCGCUCUAGAAACUGUUUUCUCUCUUUUAUUUCCAAAAAUAUUAUCAAUACAUCCUGAAAAUAAGCCUGACAUAAAUCAAAAUUGAGGAUAAUAAUUUGUUCUGUUCAUCUGAGUUGUUCUUUUUUUGGGUUCUGCAGAAACUGAAUCCAGACGUUAUCCGACUCCUCUCAGUGUCCUUUUUAAAAAGCGUUGUCAUCGUGUCGUUUGUCGCCGUGGUUCCCGUCUGACCGCCUCUUUCACUCUUGUGGGAAACUCUGACCUGUGAACACGAGAGCGUCUUUCCUCUUUGUGCAGAAAUAAAAAAGAAAGUCCAGCUCCUCCUCCUCCUGAAAGACUCGGACACUGUAAGUCCCUCUGACCUUUGACCUUCAGUCCUCCACCUUCAGCCGCUCUCACCCUACAUUCAGAGGAAACUCAGCUACUCAGCGUGCGUGUGCAUGUGCGUGUGCAUGUGUGUGUGAUUCCUCUGCAUAAUGAGGCGCUCAGAUGUACAGACGCGGUUCUCGGUUUUUAAUCGAUAUUUGAAUGUUUUGCUAAACUGCACAAUAAGAAAACAUUCACGUCUGAAAUAAUACAAAGAAACUUGUUUCCUACAUGUGUGUGCAUCUCAAUAAGCUUCCCUCCUGGCAUAAUAAGGCCUCUCUCUGCCUCCGUCAGAUGAAAUAAUGUGUGGUAUAAUCAGACGCGGUUAACAAAAGCAACAGCAGGAAUAGGGAGAGAAAUCUAUGCACAUCUAAAUAAUACAACCAUCAGUAUACGCCAAAUCUCCCCGGCUACAAUCUCCCCCCUAAGGGUGCAUGCCUGGAGCUGAUUUGUAUACAAAACAAAUCUAAUGUAUGCUUUCAACACAUAUUUAACAUAUGCCACUCACUGAUAAAUUAUUCACCAACAGGAGCUUCAAUUUUUUAUCGGCAGCGUUUCUUCUUUCCAACGAGUGAUGAGGAAACGGGAGGAGGACAAUGGAGAGGAGAGGAAACACGGCGCUGAAGUUAACUGAACGGAAAAGUCUCGUUCACCUCAGCGGGAACGUUUCAGACUCUCUGAUUUUCUUUCCUCCUCUUUAAUUUCUCUGCAGGAAAAUUUAGCGACACAGUCGAGCCGUUUGUCCGAGCGCUGACACGACUCUUUGUUCAGAACUGAAUAAAAAAAAACACACACAGAGGGGCGUCAGAGGGAGUCAGUAACCCACAUCUGCAUGUUGACUAACACAGGAAGUCACCCUGAAGGUGACCCGCGAAGGCUCGCCGCGUUCAGGAGGUGAUUUGUGACACACAGAUGAUUCAUAAAGCGGCGAAUCGUUGUUGGAGAUAAAAGCGUUCAGGUGCAUGAAUAAAAACACGCCGCCGUGCACAGACGCAAAAACAUGGAAGGUAAAUGCACACACACACCUGCCCCUCUCAGAGAGUCACAGUGAGCAUGCUCCGUGGGUCCGUGUCUCUACAGAUGCUGUGUGUGUGUGUGUGUGUGUGUGUGUGUGCCGUUGUCUCUGCCACAGGCGUGUUUACUCACUCAUACACACACUCGAUAAAACGCUCACACACACACACACACACACACUGAUGUGAGCAGAAUCAGCGCCGGCUCGCUCGCUCGCUCAUGGCCUCAGCUCCUCUGUGUGUCUUUGCCCUCAGCGCCGAGCGGAGACGAACAAACAUGUCUGACAGGAUUGAUGUCACAGGCUCACGGCGGAUCGAUGAAAACAUGAAUCUGUCGAUAACAGAUGAUCAGCUGGACCCGAAUAACUCGAUCAGAUCAGAACCACUGCUGAAGUCCAAAGAGGAGCCGGUUCUCCUCGGUGCUCCUCAUGAACAGAGAGGUUUGAACCCUGAAGGGGACUCCUGAGGACCUUCGCCUCACUACCCCCCCCCAGGUUCCUCAGAUUAGAGCGAGGGCGAAACAGUGACACCGUACGGCCCCGUACUUUUGCAGCGUUCGUGUUGUGUGGUCCGAAUGAAACACAAGCACUAAAAUAACAUUCGCAGAUGCAGCCAUCUUGUUUUCGGCCUCUGAUUUUGCUUUUUUCUGACUUGGAAAUGAAACGUCGUGAACUCGGGUGUGACGUCAUUUUCAGCCUCCUGUGGUAACUCACAGAAAACACAGGUGAGCUCCACGGCCGAGUCCCAGUCCAGAGGCCCCAGGCUUGGCCGUUGUUGCCUGCAUGGACCAAUCACAUCGGAUUGAAGUGGCCUUUACAGAAUGGCGUGAUUACAUCAGUAAACUGAUGGUGAUGUCACGCAGCAUCACUCUGGUUACUAAGCGACCAGUAGCUACCAAGUUAACCAGUUUGCAUACUUCUGUGCAUGUCUGUCAUGAGUCGAAUUCUUGAUGAAUUCAGAGUAAAAAAACACCACAAAAUCACCCUCACUGCUUCAUAACUUCACUCUUUCAUUCUGCAGAUUUUAAUGAAAAUAAAAAUAAAAAAAAGGGACUUGGUGGAGAAAAAGACAAAGACGUUGGUUCAGCUGAAGAAACGUUCAACCAUCCGUCCUGUUGACCUGCUCUGGACCUUCAGCAGAGAUCUUCAUCCUCACGCUGAACUAAAACUGUUAUUUCCAGUUUUUGUUUGAUCGUCGUCUCUUAAUCUCUCAGCUGCUGUAUCUUCACCAUGACGACUGAUGGUGAAUAAACCGUCACAGUGGUUUCGCCGUAAAGGCCAAGAUCGUGGCGUUCUCCAAUCUGAGCUCUUAAGAGUCUUGAAGCUGAACGGACUGAUGGAGUCGGUCAGAACCUUCAUUUCUGCUGCGGUGAGUCAGCUCUCUGUCAUUCACACUAACCUUUAAAAGCAGCAGACAGACCUGUAGGCUGAACAACACUGAGAUUUUCACUGAGAGUGAAAAUUCAUCAUCUGCAGACAGAAAGGAGGCGGGGUCAGGGUCUCCUCUGUAGUGACUGUGACCAGGAGGUGAGAGUCGCUCAGUUCGUUUACAGUCUCAGUUUAAUCAGACUAACCUCAUAACUCGUCUUCUUCUCUGAAUCAGUCUUCUCUCCUCGUCCUCGUUUACAUGCAGCUGAGAAAACUGAAUUAUUGACGUGAACGUGUCCUCCUCCCCAA